CCCAACUAAAAUAUGGAUUAGAGUUUUAAUAUUUCUCCCCCAUAUUAACUCAUCUCACACCAUUCUUCCUCCAUCUCAUUCAUUUUGUUCUCUCUUCAUUCUCCAACUUCUUCCCCCACCAAAAACAGCCCCAGCAACCACCAGGGCUGACCACCACCGCCAGCUUCCAGGACCGGCCACCAUCCACGGCUAGUGACAGCCGCCAGCUGCUCCCCCUGCACGCCUCUUCUCUCUCUUCUUCCCCAUUUUUUCGGGGUUAUCAUAGAUAGACAUUACAGGUGAUGGAGCUUCUUCGCAUUGAUUACGGGGGGAAUGAGUGAGAAUCUUGAAGUAUACAAUAAUCUUAUUGUCUACAUGUAGUUUCUUUUAAUUAAGUUAUUUAUGUUUUGAGUUUGAGGUACAUGUCCUCCUUUGUAUAAGUUAUUUCCGUUGCGUUGUUUUUGUGGUUUGUAUGAUUUAAAUAGUUUAUCAUUGUCUUUUUUUCUUCAAA